rnacentral:rRNA from 1 species
UACGAAGGGGGCUAGCGUUGCUCGGAAUCACUGGGCGUAAGGGUGCGUAGGCGGGUUUUAAGUCAGGGGUGAAAUCCUGGAGCUCAACUCGGAAACUGCCGUGGAUACUAUCAAUCUUGAAUACUGUGGAGGUAAGCGGAAUAUGUCAUGUAGCGGUGAAAUGCUUAGAUAUGACAUAGAACACCGAUAGCGGAGGCAGCUUGCUACACAGUCAUUGACACUGAGGCACGAAAGCGUGGGGAUCAAACAGG